UUCAAAGUUCUACAUCAGACUUUAGAGCAUAUAGGGUGUGUAAGUUUGCUUUUUCUUUCUUGUAGCAACACUGAUAUAUUUUCUGUAUUUGUUUCUGUUCACAUGCCUCUCUGUAUCUAUGCAAAUUAUAGGGUUACCAUGGAAACAUGCAUCAACAUGUAGGCAAUGGUAUGAAUGGAUGACCGACGUCAAAGUCUACAUACAGCAGUGAGAGAAAUCCUGCUACAGACAACGUUGUAAACGCUUAGCUUUAAAUAGACUAAGCCUUGCUAAGACCUGCAAAAAAAAAAUUCAGGCAAAACUUGAAUUUAAACAAAAAUCUGGAUAAUAGGUGCGCUUCUGGAAAACUCUAUCUGCCUUGGUUUUGUUUCGUAAUGAUUUGUGUUCGGUGUUUGUUGUUUUGAAAGUUGGUACUUGGUUCUGUUUGUGGUGGUGUUUGUGUGUUUGUUGUGGAUUUUGUGGUGGUGUUUUAAUGUUUGUUGUGGUGCUCGUAUUGUCUGCAUUGUUUUCUUCUCGGUUGUAAAUGAUGUGGUUUCGUUUGUGUUCUUUUGUCAAAACGGGAUUUUUUUGUGUGCAUUGUUCGUCGAAUUGGGGUUUUUGUCUUUCGUUCCGUUAGAAAUACAUUUUUACCUGACUUAUUGCUAGAAACAAUUAUAAGAAUAAGUUGAAUAUCGCGGUAUGUUUGAAUAAUUUUACUUGUCCCAUCAGUUUUAGAUAGCUGCAGAAACGUACCAUGAAAUGUGCAAACGACAUACAUAAUGUGCAGACGACAUCUGGUUAAGCGCGCGCAACUGAUAUAUUUUAUGUCUUCAUUUUAUUCUUUUUUGUUUUGUAUUGCUAGUUUUUCCUCUAGAAUGUUGGGGUACUUGGAGAAUAAAGCCGCAGACGGAUAUGGAGAUGCAGAUCAAACAAAAUAUUUAUCAUAAACAGGUGUGUAUAUUGCUACUUAGGUUAUCCUGUUUUGCAUGCAUUUCUUUGCAGAUUUUUCCAAAAUGGUGGCUGAUGUUGAAUACAAGCUGUUGUGAAGUUAUCAUGUUGUGGAUAUCGCAAAGGUUUAGUGGCCGGAGCAGCUAUGGUAACUGAUGUUGACUACACAAGCGCGUGCAAGGUCGUCAUGUUGCAGAUGUUACAUUGAUUUACUGGACGGUGCAGGCUGGUCCUUUUUCUCGGACGCAAUAAGGUAUGUAAUUUGUCUAUACAGUUAGCUUAUUUCUUUAGCUAUCUAUUUUGGGGUACUUGGAGAAUAAAGCCGCAGGUAAAUAUGGAGAUGCAGAUAAAACAAAAUCUUUAUCAUGAACAGGUGCGUAUAUUGCUACUUAGGUUAUCCUAUUUUGCAUGCAUUUCUCUGCAGAUUUUUCCAAAAUGGUGGCUGAUGUUGAAUAUAAGACCUGUGAAGUUAUCAUGUUGUAGAUGUCGCAAUGGUUUAGCGGACGGUGCAGCUAUGGUAACUGCUGUUGAGUAUGCAGGCACGUGCAAGGUUGUCACGCUUCAAAUGUUACAACGAUUUACUGGACGGUGCAGGCUGGUCCUUUUUUCUCGGGCGCAAUAAGAUUAAUUCAAAAGCGUAGGAAUUCGCAUAAAGUUUCUGGUUUGGGUGAAAGUAUGGACGCUAACUCUGUUCGAUGACGAUUCACCCGAACUUUAAAUACAGGUUUCAAAAGACAAGAAGACAGUAUUUAACAUCAUUGAAAGAUUGAAAAAGAAUCGAUUGCAGAGAACAUAUAUCUUCAUGCCGCCCUGUGCUUGUUGUUUUCGACAGCUGACAGUCCGAUGCAUACCAGAUUGAUUUCGAACACAAAAGUGAGAAAUAUCUGCAGAAGGAAGAACCAAGCAUGAUGACUACACGACAGACCUGGCGCAAGCAUAAAAGCAUGACACCACCACAGCCGCCGUGACACAAGCAUAGUUCAACAAAUUAGACAUAAGCUGAUAUAUAAUUAUAACCCCACGUACAAAGUAUAUGGGGCUAUAUUGGAGUCACACAUGUCCGCCCAUCUGUUCUUCCAUCCGUCCAUGGUGCCCGCUGGGAAGACUUUCAUGAAAUGGCAUCAAUAACCUCAUCAAGACGAUGCGCAAAACGCACAACCCAGCCCACUAGGUCCAAAGGUCAAAAUACUCUUGGAGGUCAAAUAGCUUAAAUUCAUGGCCGCUGCAUAUUGUCUAAACCGUUGCAUUCAAGUUAAAAUUCUAUGAAAAGCUUUCAGUGUCGCUCUAUUUUCUUAACUAUUGCCCUUAUUACCAUCAAAUUUCACAUUUAUAAGUUUUUCGUAAUGGGCAUGCAUCUAUUAGCUAAGAGUCAGAUAUCUUAGACGUCAAGGUCAAAGGGUCAAAUAUCUUAAUAGUGCUGGUUAAAAUUUUAUGACAAGCUUUUCCAUUUCAAUAUAUCUUAACUACUAUUCUUUAACCAUUAAACCUCACAGGAGAAUUGAUCCUAGAAAGGAACAGAAAUCUUUUGGUUUAGGGUCAGGUUUCCUACCCAUACUUCCUCUACACCAGUUCCAACACCAACCCAAAAAUUCCCCUCACCUUCGCUACCCAUCUGUCUUCACCUACCUCCAUCAAUCUCAUUUCAGCAACUCUCGCCCAAAGCAAUAAAAAAUAUCUAUUUUUAGCUGAAGUAUAUGGAGAGCUAUCCUACUCGCCUCGUCGUCGGCGUCUUUCCACGUCCCCGCCUUGGUUAAAGUGUUUUUACACUUUCUCGUUUUUCUCCUUAUCUCAGUAAUUACUUGAUGGAUUUGCUUUAAACUUAUAAUAGUUAUUCCUCAUCAUCACCCACAUCAUAUGGCACACGUGUCAUAACUCUCACAUUAAUA
rnacentral:lncRNA from 1 species